rnacentral:tRNA from 1 species
GAGAAAGAAGCAUAAGUGGUUUGUAUGCGGUUGGCUUGAAACCAGCAGGUGGGGGUUCGAUUCCCU